GUCAGCGGUAGAGGCGACAUGGAGGCACCUCAAAUUAAAUGUGGAUAUUGUGUAGUUGGCUCAUGGGCACAUCAAUGCCAAAAUAUAUUACAAUAUGAAUGUUUUAAAGAAUACGAUGAAAAUAAGUACAAGCAUUGACGAAAAUAAUGUAGCUACUAUUGUGAACAGAUUAGACGAAGAUGAACUAUAGGCCACCGUUAUACGAUCAUCGUUUAAAUGUUAAAGAAAGGAAAGCCACUGUGCCUGGUAGCUAACGGCGCAAAUUUCAAAGCAGCGAAAGAAUAAAAAAGAAUUGUGAUAAUAAUGAGUGGCGAAAAAUACGCAAAGUGGUCUGUGGAAAAAUUAAAAAAAGAGCUCCGUUCUCGGGGAGCAAAAGUAACGGGGAAAAAGAAGGAUUUACAAGAUCGGUAAAAUAGAUCGUCAAUAUAGGUUAUUAUAUCUAAUAUACUCUUUACCCAGCGAACCAAAUUGUCACAGAGUUAUUUCAGUUAAUGAAUGCGAACAAACAUUAUCGAUUGACAUACAGUCAUAAUAUUUUUAUUACAAUACUGAUUUUUCCCAUAUGUUAACAAUUGGUGUUUGAAACUCGCGCGGAAUACUACCAAUUUUGUUCUAACGUUUAUUUCUAAAGAGUUCUGACGAUAAGCAUUAUUUAUUCAUAUUUUAAAUAAUUUUUAUCGACCAAG